UAUUUUCAGAGUUUGGUUUUCUAGUUUUACGAUUAUUUUAGUGAAUUAUUCUUUACUUCACAAUAGGCCGCAAAAUGUCUGGCGACCCUAGCCUAUUGGCUUUGUGUAACUCUUAUUCUCAAUAAAUGGUGACAAAAAAAUUGAAAAAAAAAACAUAAACAAAGGGUACACGAAAUUCAAGCUACGAAGAUGUGACUGUCGGAACAAGUGAGCCUGACUGGAACAUUUAUUCAUUUCAUCAUUGGAUAGGUCUUUCCUUUGUCUGUAGUCUGUACUCUGUAGUUAAGAUGCCGAAAGUGCGGUAUCAGUAACCCAUAGUAAUCUAUUAUAUUACAAAAGGCGACGUUUAUCGCUAAACAGCUGCUGCAUGUGUUCUGAAACAUACACGUUCUUCAAUCAUUUGAAUCCACUCCUGGUUACUGACCGUCUCUUAAAAUUACGGCCUUAAAAUUAUGAAAACGUGUUGCCCCAGCAUCUUUUCUAAAGUCAGCUGUCUACUUCCAAUAACGCUUCGCAUCAGUGUUUUAUAUGUUGGAAUGUAGCAAAGGUCUUUGUGGUCCAUAUAGGCCUACAUUACCACUAAUUUCCAAUGGACGCGUGCCCAACUGCCCCUUACAUUCCAUUUCCAUGUGUUAUCAGCAUCAGAUAGAAGACUGCUUUUAUGCAGAUCCAACAGUGGUCUUGCCUUCUAAAAGUCUAAUCUUACUAGCAUAACUAAUGCGUCCUAUAUACAUCCCACACAGCUUACUCCAUUCAAGUCAUUGUCUCCCUCUAUAAUUUUAACCCUCAACUCAUCCUCUGUUGGAAUGUUCAGUUGGCAGACGAGAAGAUUUGCAGAACACGUAAAGUCUUAUAGGAAAGUAUAUUGUCAGGUCAUUGUGAAGCAAAGCUUCUUAGAAAUGGUAAUAUAAUAAGAAUGUCUGGUAACAAAUCAAAAUAUGUAUGGGAUAUUCUAAAACGUGAAACAGGGAAGAUACAUGAAGAGCAGGAAACUAUUCUUACAAAUUUUGAUGAUAUCAAAUUUGGCAAAGACGCCCUGCUAAAUUAAAUAAAAGAUUACUUUAUAUAAAUGCUUUCCAAACACUUAGCUUAAAUUUCACUUAUCAGGAUCUAUUUGGGGUUUGCAUACAGCAUGAGGUUUGUUCCAACUAACGAGCAGGAAGCAGUAAAGGCCUCCACUGCGAAAUGUUACCUUGUGUAUAUGAUUUUUCAGUGUCACUUGUAAUCCAGACUGCUACACAAAUUUCAAAGCUCUUGAUUCACAGUGUUAAUUUUAUCAUCCACUGAGUGUAUGUUCCUUGAAAGAAAAAAAAUAUCAAAGACAAUACCAUUAUUCAAGUGUGGAAAUACGCAUAAAGUUGAAAACUCCUCUUGGUAUUCUCUAAAGUAGUAGAGCGAUUAAUGAAACAAAGAAUCACCAAGUACUUAAAUGGCCACAUCCUGCUGAAUGGCAAUUGAAAAUCAGAGUGGCUUUCAAAUGAUAAAUGAUUACACCGAUGAAAUUGUUAGUAAUUUGGAUAACAACAAUGGUGCUGUCAGAGUUAAUAUAGAUCUCUCUAAAGCUUUUGAUAUGGUUAAUCAUAAAUUCUUUUAAAUUAGUUGGAUGCAAUGGGAAAAAAGGAAUAAAAGAUUGGGCUCAAAUAAUAUGUGCAAAAUAAGUUACAUGUUGUGGAGCUCACAUCAACUCAUGCUACUGAUAAAAUUGGAAUAGUAUCUGAUGCAAGGAAAUAGGUGUACCCCAGGGUAGUGUGUUAGGCCACCUUCUGUUCCUCAUUUAUGUAACUGAUACACAUCUGAAACAUUGCCACCAAGAUCAUGUUGUUUGCAGAUGACACUAUUGUAGUAACGAGUGAUGUUAAGGAAUCUCUGUCCGCAGCUAUUGAUAAAAGUCCUUAAUUCAUGCAUUGCAAACAAUCUGACACCAAACAUAAGAAAAACAGACUAUAUACAAUUUGUGAGUAUGGGUAAAUUCAAAAAGAUCUAUAUUUGGUACUGGGUGGAAAUAAGUAGAAGGGGUACAGUGCAUGUUGCUUUUAGGAAUGAAUGUUGACCAAGACUUAAAUGGGAAAGACCAUGUAACUAAUAUUUCCCAGAAAUUCAGUUAUGCAUGUUUUGCUUUGAGAAUUAUUUCUAAAGUUUGCUCCCCAGAUGGUGCUAGAAUGGCUUAUUUUAAUUACUUCCAGUCCCUUGUAGCUAUUGGAAUAGAUUUCUGGGGUAAAAUUAAUACUUGAUUAAAUGAAAUUUCUGCAUUACAGAAAAGAGUUAUUUGAAUCUUGUCAUAUAUGGUAGCUUGGCUAUGGCUCACUGCAAGCCCUUAUUUAAAAAGUUGUUUUUGCUUAAUAUUCCCUUCAUGUACAAAUGCAAAUGUGUGUUGAUGAGAGGAGUUAGCCUUGGUGACCUGCUAACCCAUUCUGAUUACCACCAUUAUAAUACUCACAACUGUGCAUCCAUCCAUAUAGAACAAGUUAGAACAACCCACACUCCAAGACAUGUGAGGCUCUUUGAUACAAUUCUUUACAAUGUCCUUCCAACAUACAUAAAGAGGCUGGAGAUGGAAGAGGCUUCCAGAUAACGAGUUAAAAUCAUUUCUGGUUGAGAAGUAUUUCUACAAUGUAAAUGAAUAUGUUAGCUCAUGGGACUACUGGGCCUUCAUUCAUAUUCAUUGUUCAGUUAUUUUGACUGUUAACUGAUGUACCAUUGGUGAUAUGUUUGUCUUUGCAAAGAAUGUUUCUGCUGUAGGUUUUCUGUUUCAGAUGCUGUGUGACACACCUCUGCCGAGAAAGGAUCUGGUGCCAACCUAAUUGUGAUGAUUAUGGCAGUGCUGUAUAAUGUGCUCUUGUGUUUUAUUUUUCAAGGAUUUGCCGCAGAAUGCAGCCAGGUUUAUAAAUACAUUUAAUCAUGAUUACAAGAAUUUGGGCAAUAUGCCAUCGAUUCAGACAGAAGAGCUUUUGAACUGACAAGGUUUGACUUCACUCAAGUUGUUUACCAUUAUGCUGAAUUUAAGAAUAAAGAGCAUUGAUUCAGCAAAGCUAAAAAGAUGGCAGGGAAAGAUUUUAUUCAAAAUUUCAUGACACAUUUUUAAUUUUCUGUUUGUAUACCAGAACUUAUGUUGGGAGCUAGAUUGGCUGCAUUUAGUUACGUGAAUUUAGAGGGAUUUUCUAAUUUACGCAGAGAAAUAGGAACAAAAUGCAAAUUUGAGCCCUGCAAGACCUUUAAUGUUGAUGAGACAGGAUUUUCAACAGUUCCCACAAAGGUACCACCAGCAUCAAGCUCUGAUGGCAAAGGAAAGGUAGGAAAGGUUUCCUCUGCUGAGUGGGGAACAAGUAUUAGCAUUGCUUGCUGUGUUAGUGUCACAGUCAGUUCGUACCUCCACUUUUUAUUUACCUUAGGGUCAGAAUGUGUGUGGUGUAACAGACAACAAGUGGUCUGUUGCAUGCGCCAUCUAUCGCCCCUGGCCUAGCACAAAUUCUAAUUAAAUGAUAAAAUUGAGUUGCGGAUUAGGAUUUGUUAGUUAUGUGCAUAAAUACUGCGGAAGUAUUUGGUUUUUAUAUGUGCAGAUAAUUCAAACACCGAGCCAACAACUGGCGCGGACUUUCCUUGAUGCGGCAAGUAGCAGGCCACCAUGCAGCAAACACAGUGAGGCUGAUGACAUCGCUCCAUGGAGGUCCAGAGUCACGGCAGCGUGAUACUCCGAGGCGGUUGUUGGACUUCGGAGAAAAAAAAACGAAGAAUGUAUAAUGAGGAACUUUGUCUGUAACAGCGAAAGCAGGAAGAAGCAAUUUAAUGGCUGGUAACGCAGUAGGCGGUACCUCAAGAGCCGACUGUACAUAGGUAUCAGAAAUAAAUUGCUGUAACUAUUGUAAAAAAGGAGUUCUGAAUAAGAGUUAUUACGAGAAGCA